rnacentral:lncRNA from 1 species
UCUUUUUUUAUUCAAAUGUUGAUAAUCCUCAUCACCAUCAUCAUCAUCUUUAUCCUCUUCAUGAUUGGUCUUAGCAUUUUAAAAGGCCUUGUUCUCCAUCUUCUUUGCCUCUUCAUCUUCAUUUCUACCUUUACAACUAUCAUUGUCUUCAUCUUCUUCCUUCUUUAUUGAAUUUGAAGAUGUGUCCACAUACACACUAUUAUCCCCACU